UAUCUACUCUCUCCGUCCGGAAAUGCUUGUCAUCAAGAUGAAUAAAAGAGGAUGUAUCUAGAUGUAUUUUAGUUCUAGAUACAUUCUUUUUUAUCCAUUUUGAUGACAAGUAUUUUUGGACGGAGGGAGUACUAG
rfam:Triticum urartu cultivar G1812 contig1072708, whole genome shotgun sequence.